GUAAACAUUAGAGCCUGCGGAUGGCUUCAGAUGCUCUACUCACACUGCCACACGCAGCAAACCCGGAAGUGACCAGGGGGGGGGGGAGGGCGAUCACUCGGGUGCCCGGCAGGGUAGGGGGGGUAUUACAUGAUGCCUCAAUAUCGAGGCAUCUUGUAAUACCAUCAGAGCGUCUGGAAGCGAUCACGAUUGCUUCCAGCGCUCAAAAUAGCCAAAGGGGUUAAUGUAGUGUGUAUAGGUGGUGCCUAUAGGGGAUCUAGUGUGUGUGGAGAACCCAGAGUGUGCAUAGCAGAUUUAGUGUGUGUGUGUGUGUGUGUAUAGAGGAUUCAGAGUGUGUAUAGGGAUUCUAGUGUGUGGGUGUGUAGAGGAUCCAUAGUUAUGUAUGGGAUCUAGGGUGUAUAUAUAAGGGAUGUAGUGUGUGUUUCUAGAAUGUAAUGUGUGUAGGUGUGCACUGUGUGUGUGUAAAAGGUGCAGUGCAUGAAGGGUGCAGGAUGUCUGAGGCAUGCAGGGUGUGUGUUUGAGGGGUGCUGUGUGUGUGAGAGAGAGGGGUGUAGUGUGAUGUUUGGUGUGUAGUGUGUGCAUGUGAGGGGUGCAGUUUGAUGUUUGGGGUUUAGUGUGUGUUUGUGUGGGGUAAAACUAAAAAAUAUGUAUGUGCCGGUAUUUGGCCGGUAUGCCCGAUGGCCAGUCCGGGCCUGCCUUGAACGGGUACAAGAAGAACUGGGUGACAAAGGCGACUUCGGAAUAGUGUCCUCAGGUAGUCAAAUUAUUAUUAUUUAUAUAGCGCCAUCAUCUGCCAAUACCCCUUGCACAAAUCAAUCAUGGUGAGGUAAUGGCCCCGAGCCAUCCCAUCGAGAAGCUCAUCGUUCUGAGGCAUGAUGUAGGCGUCGGAUACAGUCUUAAAUAAAAGAUAAAAGGUUUCUAGCUGUUACAAUGUCCAAAUAUGAAAGGCAGCUUUUCCCCCAAACAACAGUCUCUCUUGUCUGGUCAUUGAUGUGGAGUAGAGGAGAUGAAAAAUUGGGAGAAGCGCCUUGGAGGGGUCGUCAAAUUCCAAGUGGCAUGUAGUGGGAAAAGAGUGGAAAAAUAUAUGGUGCAGUAUGUCAAAGACCGGAGGAAAU